GAAUUUUCCGCAAUGGGCGAAAGCCUGACGGAGCAACGCCGCGUGUGGGAUGACGCUUUUCGGAGUGUAAACCACUGUUCGUGGGGACGAAGCACUGACGGUACCCACGGAGGAAGGCCCGGCUAACUACGUGCCAGCAGCCGCGGUAAUACGUAGGGGUCGAGCGUUGUCCGGAGUUACUGGGCGUAAAGCGCAUGCAGGCGGCUCAUUACGCAUGGCGUGAAAGCCCCCGGCUUAACCGGGGAGGGUCGUCGUGAACGGGUGAGCCUGAGGAUAUCAGGGGCUGGUGGAAUUCCCGGUGUAGUGGUGAAAUGCGUAGAUAUCGGGAGGAACACCUGUGGCGAAGGCGGCCAGCUGGGAUAUACCUGACGCUGAGAUGCGAAGGCGUGGGGAGCGAACGG
rnacentral:rRNA from 1 species